UACAGAGGUCCCAAGCGUUGUUCGGAUUCACUGGGCGUAAAGGGUGCGUAGGCGGCGCGGUAAGUCGGGUGUGAAAUCUCGGAGCUUAACUCCGAAACUGCAUUCGAUACUGCCGUGCUUGAGGACUGGAGAGGAGACUGGAAUUUACGGUGUAGCGGUGAAAUGCGUAGAUAUCGUAAGGAAGACCAGUGGCGAAGGCGGGUCUCUGGACAGUUCCUGACGCUGAAGCACGGAGGUCAGGGGAGCAAACGGG
rnacentral:rRNA from 1 species